rnacentral:rRNA from 1 species
UGCGUAGGCGGUUCUUUGUGUCCGCUGUGAAAGCCCCGGGCUUAACCUGGGAAUGGCAGUGGAAACUAGAGGACUCAGAAUCUGGCAGAGGGGGGUGGAAUGCCACGUGUAGCAGUGAAAUGCGUAGAGAUGUGGCGGAACACCGAUGGCGAAGGCAGCCCCCUGGGCUGAGAUUGACGCUCAGGCACGAAAGCGUGGGGAGCAAACAGGAUUAGAUACCCUGGUAGUCCACGCCCUAAACGAUGUCAACUAGGUGUUGGGGAAGCGAUUUCCUAGUACCGCAGCUAACGCGUGAAGUUGACCGCCUGGGGAGUACGGUCGCAAGAUUAAA